rnacentral:rRNA from 1 species
UUGCUUCUCUUGAGAGCGGCGGACGGGUGAGUAAUACCUAGGAAUCUGCCUGAUAGUGGGGGAUAACGUUCGGAAACGGACGCUAAUACCGCAUACGUCUACGGGAGAAAGCAGGGGACUUCGGGCCUUGCGCUAUCAGAUGAGCCUAGGUCGGAUUAGCUAGUUGGUGAGGUAAUGGCUCACCAAGGCUACGAUCCGUAACUGGUCUGAGAGGAUGAUCAGUCACACUGGAUGAA